CAAGCAGCCAAUAAACAUAAUUCAAGGUGCUGUGUCAGGAGAGCUUGUGACUGCAGGAGUGAACAGUGGUACAAGUUUUCAAGAACACUUUGCCAACAUCUAUCAAAAUUUUAACCGCAAUGACCCAGCAACUCAACUCCUCAGAAAUGGCUCUCUCUGCCAAGAAACUAAGGAGGGUGCAAGGCUUGUGAUCGGGCGGUUCAGGACCUCAAGUAAGAGGCCCCCCAGCUGGACCCAUCAAGACCCAAGUCCCAUUUUUCUCAUCUGUCAUAUGGCAUCACCACACAGGAGAACCACGAUUAACCAAAAGAACUUGUGUGAGAAUGAAGGAAUG